rnacentral:rRNA from 1 species
GGUGCUGCAUGGCUGUCGUCAGCUCGUGUCGUGAGAUGUUGGGUUAAGUCCGUAACGAGCGCAACCCUUGUCCUUAGUUACCAGCACGUAUGGUGGGCACUCUAAGGAGACUGCCGGUGACAAACCGGAGGAAGGUGGGGAUGACGUCAAGUCACCAUGGCCCUUACGGCCUGGGCUACACACGUGCUACAAUGGUCGGUACAAAGGGUUGCCAAGCCGCGAGGUGGAGCUAAUCCCAUAAAACCGAUCGUAGUCCGGAUCGCAGUCUGCAACUCGACUGCGUGAAGUCGGAAUCGCUAGUAAUCGUGAAUCAGAAUGUCACGGUGAAUACGUUCCCGGGCCUU